CGUUCCAGUUUGUUUGUUUUUGCAUGUCCAUUUGUUUUUAGAUGACUCCUCUGUUCAAGCUUGGAACUAAAUCAUCAAAACUAAAGAUCUUUCAGUCUAACACCCAUAGCAUAAAGACCUUGAUUCAUUACCACAUGAAGCUAACAGAAGAAAGCAUGAGAGAAACAGCUAAGUCUCUGGCAAUGAGAAAUGCUCUGUCAUCUUCAGUGAUGGCCACCUCAGCAAUUAGAGGACAGAAAGUGACGAACUCAAGGCUUCCUCAUCAAUGAGCUCAGCCAAUAAGCCAGUGGAGGGCUCAGUGGCGGUCGCUGACCCUCCCCGGAAAGCUUCCAAUGCGAAGACUGAAGAAGCAUGGUGAAGACACACAGCAAUAUAAUUCAAGCGACUAAAAUAAACUCAGUGAGCUUGCCUCAUCUCUAAACACUGCAUACAUUUAAGUGCUAUUUUGACAAGAGAGCACGGUGGCUUUUUAAGAAUUUAAUUUUUCAAACUCUGGUACAAUCCUGUUCUUCUAACAGCAUCACCCUGU
rnacentral:lncRNA from 1 species